UUUUCAGAGUCUGAGCUACAGGCAGUGCCUUUGGCUCAAAUGUCUGGCAUCUCAGACCCUGUUUUUGUGGUUAAGGACUCUAAAGUGCUGUGGCGAGUGAUCAAUUUCUUCUCCCUAGUCCCUGGCUCUACCUCUUCUGGCACAAAUGUCAGCAUGACUGUAUCUGCCAGCCUUUUGUUGAGUGAAAAGGCAGAGAUGAACAUCCUAGAAAUCAACCAAGAAUUGCGCUUACAGCUGGCAGAGGGCAAACAGCAGUUCUGAAACCUCAAAGAGAAAUUUCUUAUACCUCAAACUACUACCUACUCCCUGGCCAACCAGCUGAAGAAGUACAAAUAUGAAGAGUGCAAAGACCUGAUAAAAUCUAUGCUGAGGGAUGAACUAAAGUUCAAGGAGGAGAAGCUGGCAAAGGAGCUCAGGCAAGCGGAGGAGCUCAGCUGAGGGGGCCCCGUGGGGGCAGGCAGGCAAUGUAAAGUCUCUGUUCACUCUCAGACCUGAGAGCUGGCCCAGUUACAGGACAUGUUACAGGAAGGGAGAGAUGCCUUCCUCUCACUGAAUCAGCAUCUCAAGGUCCUCCUCACUCCUGAUGAUUCUGACAACUCCUAGGGGCAGGACCUCUGAGAGCAGGCUGGCAGAGCACCUUGUCCACAAGCUCAGCCCAGAGAAUGAUGAAGGUGAUAGUGAAAAUGAUAAAGAUGAGGAGAUUCAUAAAGUACAAGCAUCACCUGUCCCCAGGGAGGUGCUGAAGGCUGAAGAAAAGGAAGUCCCUGAGGACUCACUGGAGGAAUGUGCCGUCACUUGUUCAAAUAGCCACAGCCCUUCUGACUCCAACCAGCCACAUAGGAACACCAAAACCACAUUUGAGGAAGACAAAGUCGACUCUGCACUGGUUAUAGACAGUGAAUCCUCUCAUGAUGAAUGGGAGGAUGCUGUACACAUUCUCCCAGAAAAUCAAAGUGAUCAAGAGGAAGAGGAAGAAGGGUCAGUGUCUCCCAGGAAUCUGCAGGAGUCUGAAGAGGAGGAAGCUCUCCAGGAAUCCUGGGAUGAAGGUUAUUCGACUCUCUCAAUUCCUCCUGACAUGUCUGCCUCGUACCAGUCUUACAAGAGCACCUUUCCCUCAUUAGAGGAACAGCAAGUCGGCUUGGCUCUUGACAUAGGCAGACAUCAGUGUGAUCAAGAGAAAAAGGAGGAUUGAGAGGCAACAUGUCCCAGGCUCAGCAGGGAGCUGCUGGAAGGGGAAGAGCCUGAAGUCUUGCAGUACUCACUGGAUAGAUGUUAUUCGACUCCUUCCAGUUAUCUUGAACUGCUGAACUCCUACCAGCCCUACAGAAGUGCCUUUUACUCAUUGGAGGAACAGCGUGUUGGCUUGGCUUUUGAGGUGGACAAAAUUGAAAAGUACCAAGAAAAGGAAGAAGACCAAAACCCACCAUGCCCCAGGCUCAGCAAGGAGCUGUUGGAAGUGCAAGAGCCUAAAGUCUUGCAUGACUCAGUGGAUAGAUGUUAUUCAACUCCUACCAGUUAUCUUGAACUGUCUGAUUCAUGCCAGCCCUACAGAAGUGCCUUUUACUCAUUGGAAAAACAGCAUGUUGGCUUGGUUCUUGGCGGGAACAACAUUGAAAAAAAUCAAGAAGAAGAAGAAGACCAAGACCCACCAUGCCCCAGACUUAGCAGGGAGCCGCUGGAGUUAGUAGAGCCUGAAGCCUUGCAGAACUCACUGGAUAGAUGUUAUUCAUCUCCUUCCAGUUAUCUUGAACUGCCUGACUCCUGCCAGCCCUACAGAAAUUUCUUUUACUCACUGGAGGAACAACACAUUGGCUUUUCUCUUGAUGUGGAUGAAAUUGAAAAGUACCAAGAAGGGGAAGAAGAUCAAAACCCACCAUGCCCCGGGCUCAGUGGCGUGCUGAUGAAAGUGGAAGAGCCUGAAGUCUCGCAGGACUCAUUGGAUAGAUGUUAUUCGACUUCUUCAACUUACUUUGAAUUACCUGACUCAUUCCAGCACUACACAAGUGGCUUUUACUCACUUGAGGAACAGCACGUCAGCUUGGUCCUUGACAUGGACAGUAGGUUUUUUACUUUGACAGUGAUAAGGCUCCACCUGGUCUUCCAGAUGGGAGUCAUAUUCCCACACUAAGCAGCCCUUACUAAGCUGAGAGAUGUCAGUGCUGCAGGCAGGACCUAUAGGCCCGUGUAGGCUUGAAUGAAACUCUAGUUCCAUUUGGAAGCCCAGACAUAGGAUGGAUCAGUGGGCAUGGCCCUAUUCCUAUUCUCAGACCAUGCCAGUGGCAACCUGUGCUCAGUCUGAAGACAGUGGACCCAAGUUAGGUGUGACACGUUCACAUAACUAUGCAGCACAUGCCGGGAGUGAUCUGUCAGACAUUGUAAUUUGAAAGAUAUACCCACAUAUCUCUGGGUAGCUACAAAGUUCCUCAGGGAUUUCAUUUUGCCGGCAUGUCUCUGAGCUUCUAUACCUUCUCAAGGUCAGUGUCAUCUUUGUGUUUAAGUCAUCCAAAGGUGUUACCCUGGUUUCAAUGAACCUCCCCCCAUUCUUUGUAUCUUCAGUGUUGGUUUGUUUUAGCUGAUCCAUCUGUAACACAGGAGGGAUCCUUGGCUGAGGAUUGUAUUGCAGAA